rnacentral:rRNA from 1 species
UAAAGACCCCAGUAGUCCUAGCCGUAAACUCUGUGAAUUAGAUGUUGCAUAUUCUUCGUGAAUAUGCAGUGUCGGAGCGAAGACAUUAAAUUCACCGCCUGGGAAGUACGGUCGCAAGGCUGAAACUUAAAGGAAUUGGCGGGAGAGCACUACAAGGGGUGCGGCGUGCGGUUUAAUCUAACUCUACGCAGAGAAUCUCACCAGCAGCGACGGCAGGAUGAAGGUCAGGUUGAAUGUCUUACCUAACGAGCCGAGAGGUAGUGCAUGGCCGUCGUCAGCUCGUGCCGUGAGGUGUCCUCUUAAGUGAGGUAACGAGCGAGACCCAUGCCCAUAAUUGCUAGCGGGUACUUUAGUAUGACUGAGCACAUUAUGGGGACUGCUGUGGAAACACAGAGGAAGGUGUGGGCUACGGUAGGUCUGUAUGCUCCGAAUCUGCUGGGCUACACGCGCGCAACAAUGACUGAGACAAUGGGAUGCAACACCGAAAGGUGGAGCUAAACCUCUAAACUCAGCCUUAGUUUAGAUUGGGGAUUGUAAUUCAUCCUCAUGACAGCGGAAUC